rnacentral:lncRNA from 1 species
AAGUGCGCAGAGGCUUACCUACAUUUUGUGUAAGUGACUGAGGGAGCCUUUCUUAAGCACAAAUGGUGAUGGAAGGCCCUGUGUGGAGGAGGGGAGAGAAAAAUAGGGAGUGAGGCCUGGACCUAAAAUGGGAAAAAGACGCAGACAAAGGAGUCUUAGGGCCUGAGGCCAACCUUGACCUAAAGUGUCAUUUUGUCUCUGCUGCACACAGUCCUACUGGGUAUUCAGAGCCUUUUUGGUAAAUGUGGUUCUGCAAAUACUUGACGUCUGGAAAACUUUCAGCCAAGAUGGCGUUCGGAAGCCUGGCUCGCAGGCCCCAGGAUGACAACCUAAUUACGUUCCUUUUAAUAGCUCCUUCCCAAGUGCUCAGUCAGGGACAUCUGCUGUGCCGCGGUUGCACCUUCAGGGAGGAGUAUUUUUAUCACCGUGAUGCCACAAAAGGAAACUUCUGAAGGCUGGAUGAAAAUGGCCUCUGCAUUCCCAGAGCCUCAGGGCCCAGAUGCCCAGAGCCUCUGGAACAAGGAAGGAGGAGCACCCCACGGGCAAGAAAGAAAGAACGUCUGGGAGAAGCACUCCUUCCCGGAGAUGUUAGAGACCCAGUGUGAGACCUUCCUCAGAGGUGCUAUAUCUCCAGGGGAUCCUGGAGAGAGGAAUUCCCAAGCCAGAGGCUACACGUGACCCACAAGUGCUUGAGGGUUUGGUCAGGUCACGGUAACCUCAAGAGUUUUAAAAACAACACAUCAAUUUUUUUUUUUUUGUCUUUUUGCCUUUUUUGGGGCCGCACCCGCAGCUUAUGGAGGUUCCCAGGCUAGGAGUCUAAUCGGAGCUGUAGCUGCCGGCCUACACCACAGCCACAGCAGCGCAGGAUCCGAGCCACGUCUGCGACCUACACCACAGCUCACGGCAACGCCGGAUCCUUAACCCACUGAGCAAGGCCAGGGAUCAAACCCGCAACCUCAUGGUUCCUAGUGGGAUUCACUUCCGCUGUGCUGCGAUGGGAACUCCUCUACCUUGGUUUCCUACCAGCCCCACAAGGCUCUGGGAACUGAGUUGUCUCCUGUCCUUCCUUGUGAGGUCUUUGUAGCUGAGUCUUGUCCCUAGAAUACCAGUUGCUGCCUCCAAACUCCUUAAGCUGCAAGACUUCCUUCCACUUCUCCCUGUCCCAGAAGCUGACUGGCCCCUUAGGGCAGUCCUCGUCCUAUUGCCUG